GGGACUGGGCGCUUGCUUGCUUGUGUGUGUGUGUGUGUGAGUCUGUGUGCGUGCACGCGCGCGCUCUGAACAAUGUGCACACUCAGCAACUC
rnacentral:miRNA from 1 species